UACGAAGGAUGCAAGCGUUAUCCGGAUUCAUUGGGUUUAAAGGGAGCGUAGGUGGCCUUAUAAGUCAGUGGUGAAAUCUCGCAGCUCAACUGCGAAAUUGCCAUUGAUACUGUAGGGCUUGAGUACAGUUGCUGUGGGCGGAAUAUGACAUGUAGUGGUGAAAUACAUAGAGAUGCCAUAGAACACCGAUUGCGAAGGCAGCUCACAAAACUGUAACUGACACUGAGGCUCGAAAGUGCGGGGAUCAAACAGG
rnacentral:rRNA from 1 species